CCAAUAGCGUAUAUUAAAGUUGUUGCAGUUAAAAAGCUCGUAGUUGAAUUUCGGGAUCAAAUUGUCGGUCGUGCCUCGGUACGUACUGGCGUCAUUGGUUCCUCCCUUCUGAAGAACCGCGAUGUCAUUAAUUUGGUGUCGCGGGGAAUCAGGACUGUUACUUUGAAAAAAUUAGAGUGUUUAAAGCAGGCUCGCGCUUGAAUACAUUAGCAUGGAAUAAUGAAAUAGGACGUUUGAUUCUAUUUUGUUGGUUUCUAGGAUCGACGUAAUGAUUAAUAGGGAUAGUUGGGGGCAUUAGUAUUCAAUUGUCAGAGGUGAAAUUCUUGGAUUUAUUGAAGACUAACUACUGCGAAAGCAUUUGCCAAGGAUGUUUUCAUUAAUCAAGAACGAAAGUUAGGGGAUCGAAGACGAUCAGAUACCGUCGUAGUCUUAACCAUAAACUAUGCCGACUAGGGAUCGGAUGAUGUUAAUUUUUUAAUGACUCAUUCGGCGCCUUACG
rnacentral:rRNA from 1 species